AGCUGCGUCCGAUCAGGUAGUUGGUGGGGUAAUGGCCCACCAAGCCUAUGACCGGUGCGGGCUCUGAGAGGAGGAGCCCGGAGAUGGACCCUGAGACAAGGGUCCAGGCCCUACGGGGCGCAGCAGGCGCGAAACCUUCGCAAUGCCCGAAAGGGUGACGAGGCUACCCCGAGUGUCGUCCGCUAAGGACGGCUUUUGUCGGGUCUAAAAAGCCCGACGAAUAAGGGGAGGGCAAGUCUGGUGUCAGCCGCCGCGGUAAUACCAGCUCCCCGACUGGUCGGGACGAUUAUUGGGUCUAAAGCGUCCGUAGCCGGCCCUGUAUGUGAUCCGUUAAAUCCAGCGGCUCAACCGCUGGGCUGCGGAUCAUACUAUGGGGCUAGGGGACGGGAGAGGCCGGAGGUACUCCGCGGGUAGGGGUAAAAUCCGCUGAUCCGCGGAAGACCAACAGUGGCGAAGGCGUCCGGCCAGAACGCGCCCGACGGUGAGGACGAAAGCCAGGGGAGCGAACCGGAUUAGAUACCCGGGUAGUCCUGGCCGUAAACGAUGCCCGCUAGGUCUUGGUGAAGCUUAGGGUUUCAUCAGGGCCGCAGGGAAGCCGUUAAGCGGGCCACCUGGGGAGUACGGCCGCAAGGCUGAAACUUAAAGGAAUUGGCGGGGGAGCACCACAAGGGGUGAAGCCUGCGGUUUAAUUGGAGUCAACGCCGGGAACCUUACCAGGGGUGACGGCAGAGUGAAGGUCAGGCUAAAGACCUUACCUGACAAGCCGAGAGGAGGUGCAUGGCCGUCGCCAGCUCGUGCUGUGAAGUGUCCUGUUAAGUCAGGCAACGAGCGAGACCCUCGCUGCCAGUUGCUUCUAUGUUCCGAAAGGUACAUAGAGGAAACUGGUGGGACCGCCGCCGAUAAGGCGGAGGAAGGUGGGGG
rnacentral:rRNA from 1 species